UUUUUUUUUUUUUUUUUUAACUGCAAAACAGAAGUCUUUAAUGAUUCUGAACCCUUCAAUCCCAGCAACCAAUCAAGCACCCAUAUACUGUAAUUCCUCGAGUUUUGUUGUUUUUACACAUGGGUUUUGAGUUUUGACUGCUAAAAAUCAGUGCUUUCUUUUGAUCUGUACAGAGCAAGGAUUCUUUGAACUACCUUCUCUCUCCCUCUAACCGUGAGACUGAGUCUCCUGCGGCGGCGAUAAGGUGAAGUUACUCUAUCUCCCUAUCGGUGAAUCUGUGGGUAUAAUUUGUUAGAGCAUGUUCUUUAGUUUUAAUGCCUAUCAAAUACUUAGUUUAUUAGAAUUUGCAAAGGCAGAUGGCCCAAUUCUUCCUAAAUUUUUCAUUGCUCAAGAGGUCUUUCCAUGAUUGGGUUUAUGGAAUCACAGCAUGAUUUAUAGUCUGCAUAAUUGAAAACCUGUUUUCUAUCUUAAAUUUCGUGAUCGGUGCUCUUAAAUUUUUCCAUUUAUUUUGUGUCUUUGUCUUUCUUUUUCCACUUCCCUAGGACAUAAUCUUCAGUUAUCUACAUUGUCAAGUUAAAGUUUCCUUCAAAGGCCAAAAUUAUUGACAUACAAAAGAAAUCAAUGUUGUAUAUCAAUCAAUACUCUGGAAUAAGUAAAUUCUCUUAUUUUUGGCAAAAUAUUUAUCUUGUUUCCUUUUUUAAAUAAACAUUACCAUAUUGAAUUCAGUUGUUUAGUAUUGUUUCUUUAUGAGCUUAUGCAAUAACAUACAAUUAAAUACUUCAAGUAUUUUAUCUACUCUCUCGAAAUAAAUAUAUUGAAAUUCUGAUAGUUUUUUGUCUGUCUUUGAAUGCAAAACCAAAGAAUUUUCAUCUCUUUCCUUUCAUAUUAGGCUCAAUUUCAACCAGAAAAUUUGUAAAGGCAAGGUGUUUUAGUUUUAAUGGUUUGAAAAAUCUGUCCAUCCUAUCUUUUUGGCUAGCCUGCUUUUGAAGAAACAUAAAUAUUUUGCCUACAGUUUCACUGUGGCAAUUCUGAAUUUUUUCUUUAUUUAUCCAUGAGCUUUGUCAUUCUUCAAUCUAUGUUGUCAUUGCUUGUCUUCUAUUUGUGAUUAUCUGCACUAUUUUUUUAUGUUCUGCAAAUUUUAAUAAUUUUCUUGUUUUUAAUUAAAUUGUAAUUAUGAAUCACUAUGAUGUUAUGUAAUUGAAAUGGGUGGUCGAACCUGUUGACUCAGGAUUUGGCCACUAGGCUGGUUAGACCUCUUUUUUGGCUUUGAAAACAAUGCUAAAAUCUUAUUCUUCAUGGUGAUUCUAUCAUCAUUAGGAGAGAGAUUGGAUUCCACUUCACUGGUUUGGAGAACAAGGAGCUGUGGAUGCUUGUUUAAGGUUUCUGGAACUUACCCUUAUCAUCAGUCUAUUACCAUCCUGAGUUUCAAGUUUUGACGUUUCUACUUUACAGAGUUACUAUGGAUGUUCUAGCUGUAGCUCAAGUGAAAUGUGUUUGAUAUUUUGCAGUUGUUAUGGCUACUAAUGGCAAGAGACACCGCUUUAAGGAUGGGGCUUUUCGCCGAUUUGUAUCUCUGGCUCUAGUUACAGUAUUGGGGGUUUUACUACUGAUCAUUCUACUUCGAACAAAUUCAGUUUCAGAAUAUGUGCCACACGAUUUAACUGAACGUCAUGAAGACUUGAGACCAAGUUAUAAUUAUUCAGAUUAUGCGGCAAUACUCAAUCUCCCAAAACAUACUGAAUUGUCAAUUCAAUUGGAGAAGCUUAACCAGUUACCCCCAAGGAAUACAGAUCUAUAUCCAAAUUUAGCUAAGGAUCAUAUAACCAUUGUCCUAUAUGUUCAUAAUAGGCCCAAAUAUCUUAAAGUAGUUGUGGAGAGCUUGUCAAAGGUAGAGGGGAUAAGUGAGACAUUACUUAUUGUUAGCCAUGAUGGAUAUUUUGAAGAAAUGAACAAGAUUGUUGAAGGUAUCAAAUUUUGCCAAGUGAAACAGAUAUUUGCCCCUUACUCACCCCAUGUCUUUCCUGAUAGCUUUCCUGGUGUUUCAUCUGAUGACUGCAAGGAUAAGGAUGAUGCAACAAAGAAACAUUGUGUCGGAAAUCCUGAUCAAUAUGGAAACCACCGAUCACCAGAGAUAGUGUCAUUGAAGCAUCAUUGGUGGUGGAUGAUGAACACUGUAUGGGAUGGUCUGAAAGAGACAAAGGGGCAGUCAGGUCAUAUUCUUUUCAUAGAGGAGGAUCACUUCAUUUUUCCCAAUGCAUAUCGGAACUUGCAGAUGCUCACAGCAUUAAAGCCUCUGAAAUGUCCAGAUUGCUAUGCUGCAAAUUUAGCACCUUCUGAUGUGAAUUCAAGAGGAGAAAAUUGGGAAAGUUUAGUUGCUGAGAGAAUGGGAAAUGUGGGUUAUUCCUUUAAUCGAACUACUUGGAGAAAAAUUCAUACGAAGGCAAGAGAGUUUUGUUUCUUUGAUGAUUACAAUUGGGAUAUAACGAUGUGGGCAACAGUUUAUCCCUCAUUUGGUGGUCCAGUUUACACACUACGUGGGCCAAGGACUAGUGCUGUUCAUUUUGGGAAGUGUGGUUUGCAUCAGGGACAUGGGGAGAAAAAUGCGUGCAUUGACAAUGGUUCAGUAAAUAUUGUAGUAGACGAUGUUAAUAAGGUAGCAAACAUCAAUUCAAAGUGGAAAGUGCAUGUUUAUGAGAAUCAACCAGGGUAUAAAGCUGGGUUCAAGGGAUGGGGGGGCUGGGGGGAUGAUAGAGAUCGCCAGUUGUGCUUGAAAUUCGCUGACAUGUAUCACUCCGUGGGCAAUGUUUCUACCAUCUGAAGAUUGUGUUUUGGCAUUUAGGUUGUCUCACUAUUAUUACUGAUGAGGUCUUGAAUUUUUUUUGUUGAGCCAUUCAAAAGGAAAGAUGAGUAUAUUUUUUUUAUGUUUUUAGUAUCUUACGAAUUUUCAAGCUGUUUUCCAGCUUUAAUGAAUACAGAUUUUAGUCUUUAUUCUCUCUGAUCUGUUGUGCUACAUUUUUUUGAGAUCUCCGAUUCUAUUUUUAUUUGAUGCCUUUGAAAGCAUAGCAAAUACUUGCAUGCUCUGUUUUACCUUUUGUGGCUGACCAAAAGCUUACUUGUAUGCCAGCAAAUACAUGCACAUAUUCGCUUUGCAUAUUGUGAUUUAUAAGAAACAUGAAAGGAAUUUCUUUCGUGUUCUGUAUGUGUACGUGUG
rnacentral:misc_RNA from 1 species